CACUGAAAAUAGCCACCUUAAAAAGCCAGCCUCCUUUGCUUCUAAUCUCAAUUCCAAUGGCGCAAGUCAUUUAACUGUGUUUCCUAACAAUUUGCAUAAUGGACCUGAAAGAUUAUAUGUUGGUGUUUCUUGUUUAAGUCCUUGGCAGUGGUGUGGGCAACAAUUGGAUAUGGAAACUUCUUGUUAUUUGCAUCCUUUACGACAUGC
rnacentral:misc_RNA from 1 species